GACGAACGCUGGCGGCGUGCUUAACACAUGCAAGUCGAACGAAAGGACGGGAAGAGCUUGCUCUUUCCGGAAUUGAGUGGCAAACGGGUGAGUAACACGUAAACAACCUGCCUUCAGGAUGGGGACAACAGACGGAAACGACUGCUAAUACCGAAUAAGUUCCAAGAGCCGCAUGGCCCAUGGAAGAAAAGGUGGCCUCUACCUGUAAGCUAUCGCCUGAAGAGGGGUUUGCGUCUGAUUAGCUGGUUGGAGGGGUAACGGCCCACCAAGGCGACGAUCAGUAGCCGGUCUGAGAGGAUGAACGGCCACACUGGAACUGAGACACGGUCCAGACUCCUACGGGAGGCAGCAGUGGGGAAUCUUGGUCAAUGGUCGGCAGACUGAACCAGCCAAGUCGCGUGAGGGAAGACGGCCCUACGGGUUGUAAACCUCUUUGUCGGAGAGUAAAGUACGCUACGUGUAGUGUAUUGCAAGUAUCCGAGAAAAGCAUCGGCUAACUCCGUGCCAGCAGCC
rnacentral:rRNA from 1 species